GCGCCGAGGCCGGGCCGUCCCCCCCCUCCCCUAGGGCUCGCCCUCCCUCCUCCCGCCGCCUAGGAACGGGACGCUAAAAUGGCGGCAGCCGCCGGCGGGCAGGCAGUGGAAAAACAGCUGAAGAUCUGUGGCUUUAAGAGGAAUGUGGACGUCUUAGUAUUGUAUCUGGCUGGACAAGGACUAAGAAUUAUCCCAAGUCUGUCACGGUUUCAUAGAUUAAGGUAUUUGUGGAUUAACAACAAUAAGAUUCAAGAUUUAACCUUCUUGAUCAAAAACUAUUGCUUGACUGAACUCUAUCUCAACAAUAAUGAACUGACAGAUAUCUCAGGUGCUCUGAAACACUUACGUGCAUUACAGAUUCUCUUGCUUCACAGCAACCAGUUAAAAAAACUUGACAAAACAGUGAAGGAAUUGGAAGGAAUGAUAAGCUUGCAGACCUUAAACCUAUUCCAUAACCCUCUGGCGCAAGACCCAGACUACCGGCUUUAUGUGGUAUACUUCCUUCCUUCGGUACAGCUCCUUGACAGGAAGUCAGUUACACAAAAAGAGAGGGAGUCGGCGCUUCAUCUUUAUAACCGCGAAAGGUCUUGUCUUGUGCAGUCAAUAGCUUUUGGAAAGCGAGUAAAUACACCCCUAGGAACUACAGCGGGAUCUAGCAGAUGCACUCAGCCAGCCAGAAGGCUCAUGAUGCCCUCAGGUUGUGAAUUUGGCAAUCACACAAAUAGAGUACCAUUUGAGAACCUCGAAGAUGCCGUUUUGGUACGGGCAAUGACAAGAUCUCUAAUGGAAUUUUCCUCUGUUGACUGGAACAAAGUAGCCACCUGUCAAGAAAGACGGCUUGAAAACAAAGCGGAAGAACCCCAUGAGAAGCUGACAAUCCAAUUUAGAUGAGUGCUUUCUUAAGAAAAAAAUUAUUCUUCUCUCUAGUAUGAAGAUCAGCCUGUUAAUCAAGUCGAGGUCAGUAAGUACUGACGACCUCAGAACAGGUUCCGAGACGUUUCCCUCAGCCACAUGCAGGAGGAGACUCACCACUAGCACACAGCACGCUCCUGGUAAAGCUCAGAUGAGAGUUCCUGACUCCUGGCGCUACCUUCAUCCCUUCCUCCAGAGGAAGCUCCAGUUAUGCACUUUGUACUGCAGAAGCACGUACCUCCUGCACUUCAGACACCUCAGACGCUACCAGCUUCCUCUUACUAUUCGAAAAGUGAUGACAUUGCAAAACCUUGCACACCUGGAGAACAGCAGCAUCUGUUCUUAUAGAUAAGAUUGUUUGUGCUUUUAUAAAACAAAGCAUGGGAAUAGAACACAAAUUGACUCUGUUAUAGGAUGAGAUGUGGAAAAAAAGCUGAAUAACUGUCUCAGUUCAGAACAGGUCAUUAAACGUUUCUCCAAUAAAAAGACUCAGAAACUAACGUUUUACUUCCUUAGGAAUUUAGAAAAUGAUAAUAGACUUUCA